AUGUUUGGCAGCAUGAGAGCCCUAGAGGAAGUGGCAGAUAUCCAUCAAAUUGACAACCCUGAGAAAUUUGUGGAAGAACUUGGACAUCUAACAAAAUUGAGAAAGAUCACGAUGACUGGUUCAUGGACUGAAUGCUAUAGAGAAAGACUGAGGUCAUCUCUGAAUGCCAUAGGCAGCCUUCAACAUCUUCAUACUCAUGCAGUAAUAGGAGAAUAUAUGUUCAGGGAUCCAUGCUGCACCUUUCCGCACCUCCAAAAUCUUAAACUAGAGUACCCCAUGAUGAGGUUUCCCAAGGGAAUGGCCUUCCUAACCAACAUCCUCAAAUUAGACAUAGAAGUCUAUCUAUUUGAUGAUGAAGAUCUCCGUAUUCUUAUGGGUAUGCCUUCUCUGGCUAAUCUCCAGCUAAUAGUUUCAAGAUCAGGUGGCGUCCUGACUGUAAGUGGUAACGGAUUCAAGCUGCUAGAGGUGUUCCACUACACAAAUCAGGCAUACGAAACAACAGGUAUAAAAUUUGAAGCAGGUGCGAUGCCAGCACUCCGAUGGCUCUAUCUUUACUGGAACAAUUGUGGUGUUCCGUUAAGGAAUAAUGAGAACACUGGCAUGGGCUUCGAGCACCUUUCAAACCUUGCUGACCUCCAUGUCGAAAUUAGUAUUUCUCGUGCAACUCUGGACGAGCUGGAGACUGUGGACUGUUUCGUCGAAAAAGCAAUCGCUUUGCAUCCCAACCGUCACAAUCUUCAGCUCCGUCUCAGCUACUCUUCCUGA
rnacentral:rRNA from 1 species